rnacentral:rRNA from 1 species
UACAGAGGUCCCAAGCGUUGUUCGGAUUCACUGGGCGUAAAGGGUGCGUAGGCGGCCUUGUAAGUCAGGGGUGAAAGACGGUAGCUUAACUAUCGCAGUGCCUUUGAUACUGCAGGGCUUGAAUGUACUUGAGGUAGGCGGAAUGUGACAAGUAGCGGUGAAAUGCAUAGAUAUGUCACAGAACACCAAUUGCGAAGGCAGCUUACUAAAGUAUGAUUGACGCUGAGGCACGAAAGCGUGGGGAUCAAACAGG